rnacentral:lncRNA from 1 species
GUCUUCAGUCACAGCUUGGGAAGCCAUAGGAACCAGACAUCUGUGCCCUUAGCUCCAAGGGCAGUGGUGUGUGGGUGACUCGCAAGCUGGCCGGGGCUUGUGGAGCAGCUGUGAGCGCACAGGACUACCCUUUUGUUCAAAGAAAAGGAAAGACAAAGUCUACGUGCCAAUGAGAGGGGUCCAUUUGCUUGGGAGACCCUCCAGAGGGUAGAGGGAGAGACUUGCCCCUCCCUGUUCAUUAGGCAAAGAAGGAAAGCAGGUGUUUGAAGAAAAACAAAUGAAGAGUGGGGUGCAGAGCAAUGUGAAACAACAUGGCGGUCUGAUGAGCUUUCCAGAAGCCAACGUGAUGCCGGAACGUGAUGCAAGAAAGGAAAGGGCAAUCCGUGGAAGGCUGAUAAGCUGAACUAAGGAAUGUGAGUUCGCUCCUUGAAGCAGGAGCAUCAGGGAGCAUACAGGAAGGUGUUUAAGUUAGGAAGCCGCCUGACCUAAUUUGAAAGGCUGCUCUGGGCUGGUGAGAUGGCUCAGCGGCUAAGAGCACUGACUGCUCUUCUGAAGGUCCUGAGUUCAAAUCCCAGCAACCACAUGGUGGCUCACAACUACCCGUAAUGAGAUCUGACUCCCUCUUCUGGUGUGUCUGAAGUCAGCUACAGUGAACUUAUGUAUAAUAAUAAAUAAAUCUUAAAGAAAAAAAAAGUUGAAA